GACGAACGCUGGCGGCGUGCUUAACACAUGCAAGUCGAACGGAAAGGCCCUGCUUGCAGGGUACUCGAGUGGCGAACGGGUGAGUAACACGUGGGUGAUCUGCCCUGCACUUCGGGAUAAACCUGGGAAACUGGGUCUAAUACCGGAUAGGAGCCAUUUUUAGUGUGAUGGUUGGAAAGUUUUUUCGGUGUAGGAUGAGCUCGCGGCCUAUCAGCUUGUUGGUGGGGUAAUGGCCUACCAAGGCGGCGACGGGUAGCCGGCCUGAGAGGGUGGACGGCCACAUUGGGACUGAGAUACGGCACAGACUCCUACGGGAGGCAGCAGUGGGGAAUAUUGCACAAUGGGCGCAAGCCUGAUGCAGCGACGCCGCGUGGGGGAUGACGGCCUUCGGGUUGUAAACUCCUUUCGCUAGGGACGAAGCUUUUUGUGACGGUACCUAGAUAAGAAGCACCGGCUAACUACGUG
rnacentral:rRNA from 1 species